AACCUGGAAACACAGAUGGGCCAUUCGUCUGUCAGAAUGAUUUUACAGGAUACAGACUUCAUAAAUGCUGUAUGCGUGUUACCAUAGAAACGCAUAUUCAUAAGGUGUUUUGGCAUUUGACAGGUCAGUGGUCCAUCAGAGCGCCGUGUAGGGACAACCAGCCAUUCUUUCCCACACCCAAGACCAAUAUACCCAGAGAACACCCACUCUUACCCAGGGAAAGCACCAUGCAGCUUCUUUAGCUUUUAAAUUAUUUACCUGCACAGUUGUCCUUUGGUCGACCAAAGACUGAAGAUGGGACAGAUAACCUAGAGGGGCUUCUAGAGUCCUGUCUUGACUCAGAACCUGAGUCCAAGUUAGAAGAUCCUCCAGGGAAGGCUGGGUAGAGCGGCAGAACCCCCAGAGCUUUGCCCAAGAGCUUGGGUCCCAGGGAAAGUACCUGCACGUUGACAUCCCGAUAGCAAUGGUUGAUCAUACGCAAGUGGACGCUCACCUUGGUCUUGAUCUUGAUGAGACACUUCACCAUGAUUCCACUCGGCUACAAACAAACAAGCUUAAUCAUAGCACAAAUGUGGUGCUUUUAAAGUUUCUGUGCCCCAAUCAGCCUCUUCUGUCUUUUAUCCUCUUAGAGGUCAUUGUCCCAUUUCUGUUGGGCUGCUCUUAUGCAGUGGGGACGCUGACAGGACAAGUAGGACCAGAGUAAGAGUGAAAGACAGAACAGUGGAACACUGUCCUCUUGUCCUGCACUUCACUUUGUUUCCUCCCUGCUGUCAGCUGUUGCACAGGCAGUGUGACCUCUGACAGCAGGAGCUAUUUUCAGGCAGAGAUAUUAUUACCAGGGCAGAAAGAGCAACAAUAUGAAACACAGGGGGUUUACGUUGCUGUUGCAAUAUUGGAGUAAUACAUCACAUCUCUGUUCAAGGCAAGAGGAGGGCUAGUUGGACAAAAGACUCUUAAUCUGUAGCUGUGAAUAGACUUACUAAAAGUUUAUUAGUUUGAUCAGCUGAGAGUAAACCAACUCUCAGAGGAAGCACUGGAAAAAGGUUAAUAGCCAGUUGGAGGAGAGUGGGGACAGUAAGUGCUCUUUAUAAACCGCCAGACUUUCUCUUGACAAGAGGAAGCCUGAGGACGGUGUCUGAUCGGCACUUAUUUGUCUAAACACACACGACCACGAGAGAGACGGGGAAAAUUAGUGACACUUAUAAGCAGAGGGGUUGAUAAUAUGGAAGGUACUUACUGCAGUCCACUCACAAAUGCAUUAAAAUCUAAGAUGUGUUAGAAAAGACUGAUCAAUAGUGGAACUAAUCACAUGGAGAACAGUGACCCCAGCACAAUGGGAGGGCUAGCUAAUGUUGGCAACAACGACAAACAUACUUAGCUGUAUUUAAACCAGCUUCAAAAAACAAGAACAUGAUGUCAUCCUAAAUAUUUUUUAAGCUUGGUAAAUUAAAGUGAUGUUAGAUGUGUCAGUAUUUAGGGGAAGCUAAUGAAGAGCUAGCCUCUAAGUCUGUUCUUGUGAAUGUAGCUUAAACCAUAGACGGAAAUACGUAGACGCACCAUUGGUCGCCGGAGAGUGUAACAGCAUUGCUACCGUAUUGGAUGGGUCCCUCACUCUCCAAAACCAGCUGGAAUCAAUGCCGAGUGAACAACUAUGCCUGUUUUUUGUACAGUCUAUGGUAACAACAAUCAGUGUUGAAAACAAGUUACAUGGAACUUUUCUUGCCCAUCUGUUGGGAUUUUAUAUUUUAAUGAAUUUUGUUUGACUAUAUUUAUAUUUUAACUGUCAUACCAUACCAUAAGUCUUGUUUUGUGAUAAAACUUAAUAAAAAGUGGAUUAUAGUUUGGGGCUAAUGCAGACCCAUCCAAGAUGGUGGCCUGCCACAAUGGCAGCUCCAAUAGGCACCGUAUAUGUCUGUGGCUUAAACAACCAGAAAAUUUGAUGAAUACGCAGCAAUAAUGGAUGAUAGACAAACAGUAACUAUCCAGUGAAACCUUUUAAAUAAAAAAUGGGGGAUAAAAUCUUUCAGGGAUUUUGGGAGGAAUUUGGAAACUCCACUAUCAAGGAAAUUCUUAUGCUAAGCAAUUAAACAAAGCUAUUACUGUAUUACCCCUUCCAGUGGUGGACUUGCCAUCAGGAGAAGCAGGACAUUUGCUGGUGGCCUGGCUACCAAACUGGUCUGCUCGGCAGAUCGCAUUACCACCCCACCCUGCUCGGAGAUUUCGUGUUGGGGAUUGAAGCCGCUAAUCCUCGCUCGAAUGGAGAUGGCAGGAAUACUAUAGUCUGCGCUGGGUUGGUGUUAAAUUCCCCUUCUGAGUUACUGUUCCAGUCUGCCCCAACUCCUUCCAAAAUGACGUAAAACGUAAAAACCAUUGACAUAUGAAAAAUGUGGACAUAGCCCACCCAUUGUUCCGUGAGCGGCAGGUUUAAGCCAAAAAUAGGAGGUUCCCAACACUGAUUUUUUUUUACCGUGUCACAUGUCUUGUCACGCCCAGACAAUUCAAAAAUGGGAAAAGAGGUGGAGCUGAGGAUGGGGGUCUUACGUUUGGAACAGGGUUGGAACAAAUUAACCAAUGUAGCUAAUAGCUGAGUCAUCUAGUCCAAGAAGCGAAGAAGGGCUCCAGGGUAGCCAAUUCGCACGACAGCCUGGCGUCUGUGCGAGGCUGUAGUCAUGCCGGUUGCCUGUGGAGAUAUAAUAUGGACUGGGACUGUUAAAUUACAAGCAGAGCCUCAGUCCACUGCAAUUGUAGCUGGGCGCCAUGGCCUUUAACAUCAGCUCAUGCUCCACGGUUGGAGAUCAGCGGGACAUUAGCUAUAUGCUAACCCAAAGAUAAUUGAGUUUUUCAAGGCAUUUUUAUGUUUAUUUAUUUGGCAUACGCUUUUAUCCAAAGCAACUUUCAAUUGUUAAUCUAUAGGGCAUGUUGUGAUCUGUGGGGGAAACCGGAAUGUCCAGAGGGAACCCAUGCAUGCAUGGGGAGAACAUGCAACUCCAUGCAAAAAGGCUGCAGCUGAGUUUCGAACCUGCAACCUGCUUGCUGCGAGGCAACAGUGAUAACAACUGCGUCACCAUGCAUAUAAAUAUAUGUCGAGAAGUAAACAUCUCGACAGGAGCGUCUUCUGAUUAGGCGUUGAUAAAAAUCGCCAUGCAAGUUUACUGCAGUUAGUUAAAGCAGUAGAAAGACAAACUGGAGUGACCCGAUUCCCGUGACACCACACGGCGCACACUGCAGAGGAAUGGCAUGCAUGGGUAUCGUCCACGAAGGAAGCCUCUCCUAAAACCCGUGCACAACAAAGCACAUCUAGGAUUGGCUAGGGCCCAUGCUGAAAGAGAUGAAGACUACUGGGACUAGACUCUGGAAUGACGAGACAAAGAUACAAAAUGUCGCCAACUUGUUCAUUCCAUGCCUAAAGGACUUGGUGUUGGCCAUAAAAAUCACGGUGGUCAUACAAAAUACUAGAUGUAGUAGUUUUUGUUGCAGGGUGUAUUCACUUUGGCUUCAACCAGUUUUAGUAAAACAGAAGAUUUUGUGAUCCAAGUUAUAUUAUUAACCUUGAUUUCAUGUUACGGAGUUAAACAAGUGAUCAGUAAAACCCAGCCUUGUGAAAAUUCUGGAAAUUUUUCGAUAGAUAGAUAGAUAGAUAGAUAGAUAGAUAGAUAAAUAGAUAGAUAGAUAGAUAGAUAGAUAGAUAGAUAGAUAGAUAGAUAGAUAGACAGACAGACAGAUAGACAGACAGAUAGAUAGAUAGAGUAGAUAUAAGUAGAUAUAGACAUGGAUAGAUAGAUAUAGACAUAGAUAGAUGGAUAGAUGAUAGAUACCGUAAAUCCUCUAACACAGGCCCGGGCCUGUAUUUGACUCAAGCUCAUCAAGCUCCAGGCCUUUUUUGGAAGGAGGACCAGAAUUAGAGGCAGGCCUCUAUUUCUAUUUGAGCAAAAUGAACUAAUGGUUCGCUGGAGUUUUUGACAAUUAAAAUUGCGCCCACAUUUUCAAAGUUAAACACAUUUCUUUUAACAACGGUAGUUUCUGCUUCAGCCCUCUCCCCCCUCCCCCUGCGCAGCGGCCGCAAACUCACUGAUGCGCCUGCAGCCUCUUAGAGUUCCUGCUGCUCUAAACAUUAAAAUAAUUAUUUCAUUUUCUGUUCCUCACUUCUGAUUACCUUCAAAGGUGUCUGUUUGUUGCAACCAGCAGGUACAAAAACUAACCCUAACCCUAUUUGACUAUUUUUCUGUCCUGUCUGUUUAUUAUCUUCCUGCAUCUCCUCUCAAUCCUAAAGAGAAACUGCUACCUGGGUUCAUAUAUGUUCACCUUAUGAGUUACCUUUGAGCUGCAGUUCUAAAAGAUCUACCAACCGCAAAAACAGCGGUGUGCUCGCUGCUUGGCGGCCGCAUCAGUGAUCAGUGCGUCACCGGAGGACAAGGUGAUGCGCCCCGCUCCAAAAGCAUCAGGCGCAAAUAAAAGACAGAAAACAUUAAAGGAAAUGAACCGACAUGAACGAUCGCAAGCAUUAAAUUAGUUUUUGAGGUGGCGACACCUGAUUUGAUAAUGUUACUGUGGCCGUGCUCAGGAUGCAGAUCUACCGACCGCAAAAACAGCGGAGUGCUCGCUGCUUGGCGGCCGCAUCAGUGAUCGGUGGGUCACCGGAGGACAAGGUAAUGCGCCCCGCUCCACAGCAGCUAAACACAUCAGGCGCAAAUAAAAGACAGAAAACAUUAAAGGAAAUGAACCGACAUGAACGAUCGUGUGUCAGUACCGACGCUCUGGCACAGCGCGUUGCCCCCCCCGAGCGCAGGAGCUUGUCACCUGCUGACGGCAGGCUGCUGUCUUUUCCGAGGGCUGCAUCUUGCCGGUCAUUAUCACAUGACAGCGACUUGUCGAUGACAGGCAUAAAAAGUCACUAUAGUGAAGUCGACUAGUUCAUACAACCCCUACUGCUCCCCAGUGUUCUGCAGCGCACGUUCUCUUUGAACUUGAUAUCAAAUUUUCGUCUCCGCACGGUUAAAGUUACCCUCGCGGUCUAUCACUGGCAAAUCAAAAGUGAGACAAUGACACAACCACCCCCCGUACUUGCUUGUUACCACAUUCCACCCGGCCACAAUAAGAGACCGGCCAUUAUUCACCUCCGCCGACUCAGACACUGGCCAAAAUUGGAGACCCGGCCUUUAAUUGAAUACCGGCCUGUAUUAGAGGAUUUACGGUAGAUAUAGACAUAGAUAGAUACAGUGAUCCCUCGUUUAUCGCGGUAGAUGCGUUCCAGACCUGGCCGCGAUAGGUGAAAAUCCGCGAAGUAGGGACACCAUAUUUACAGUGUUUAUUUAACAGGAGAGGGAGCGCAGCUGAUCCUCAUCAGCCUGAUCAGCGGGACGGCUUUAAAAGGAGGACGGUUAUCCAGAUACGACGCCGGCCAACUGCCAUUUAAACCCCAGAAGAAGAAGAAGAUACGACGCCGGAUGAUUAACUACUGCCUGACUCGCUUCUCCUACGGAUUCCCUCCCGUCUUGGAGACUUCUGGAUACUCACCGGUUCGCUGCCUGGAUACCAACUCUGCUCUGCCGUCCCGCUCUCCACCGUGCUCACGCUCCCUCUCCGUUACCUCGUCCUCAUCCGUCUACCCUGCCACCUGGAGAUCUACAGUUCGCUUCUGGAUAUCACCCCGGCUUAACUCCCCUCCACAUUCACCCUGAGCUUCCGUAUUUUGCCGCUUCCUGGUUUACCCGGCCUCCGCUGGAUCACCAGUGCGCCCUCAGUUCUCCUCAUCAUUAAAGAAAUAAAAUUGUUUAUCUUUUACCUCGACUCGAGUCUGAUUCUGUAUGUCUUGGGUUAGACACUUACCCCAAAACAUGACAGAAAAAUACCGCGAAUCGGUGAAAAAUACCGCGAAUCGGCGAAUUUCCCUUGAAUAAGGAUCCAAAGAAAAAAUCUGCGAAGUGGUGAAUCCGCAAUAAACGAACCGCGAAGUAGCGAGGGAUCACUGUAUAGAGAUAUAGAUAGCUAUAUAGAUAGAUGAUAGAUAGAUAGACAGAUAUGGAGAUAGAUAUAAGUAGAUAGAUAGACAUAUUUAAAUUCACACUCACUUCUGAGAUGAUUACGACCAAAUAUUUAUCACAUGACACCCCCACUCCUUCCAAAAACAGAUACGCAAAUGGCAACUUGAUGGUAAUAAAUAUCGGUUGUUAAUAUCUGCCCAGUUUUACUCAUCUGACUGAUAUAUGUUAGAAAAAAAUUGACUGAUAGUAAUAUUGAUGGCAAAAGUUUAUUUUAGAUGUAAUCAUUUUUUAUUGUGUUCGUUUACCUUCCAUUAUGGAGAUGUGGACGGCUCGUCGGCGGGUUCUUGGCACACUGGUCAGGCGAGGUCCGUGUGUGAUUGAUGGACAACUUCUGCUGGGAACCAUGCCAGCCCUAGGACAAGAAUAAAAAGGUGAGCGGUGUCUAAAUGGGACCAACUGCCGCAGAUCCAUCAUCAGCCACUGCCGGCUUAAAAGGAGGAGGAAGACCACUAAUCAACGCCGGUUGAUUACUCCACACGGAUCCAGCUCGACUACACCCCUUCAGCCAAGCUCCUGGACCUCUCUUCAGCCUGCAUCUUCCUUCCGUCAGUCCCGUUCAUCAUCGCUCAUCCACCCCCCUCUGGAACCCUUACCUCAACCCCACUGGACACUUGGAUCCUGUCUCCUCAGAUCUAACAGACCUCCCUAUGAACCAUCUCCCCAGCAGCACAGUGAGACCUCCACUCCUCCUCCACCUUCAAACCACCAGACCUCCUACUAAUCCGACUCUACUUGCAGGUCCAAUUCUGCCCCUCUACCCAGCAUCUCCCAGUUUGGGACGUCCUUAGUUGUGCACCGAUUAGAACCUUUGUUUAAUUUUACAUUUGUCUCUUGUGUUGAUUCUGCAUGUGUUGGGUCAAGCACUUAAACCCCAACAUGACAGAUCCUCAUCGUUUCUAAUCUGAAAGUCUGUGCUAACAAAAAUCUAGAUAAUUCAAGUAUACAAAUUGAGACUUUCAAUUUUUAAUUUUAAAUCAAAUGGAAGAUCAUCAU